rnacentral:rRNA from 1 species
UAGGGAAUCUUCGGCAAUGGACGAAAGUCUGACCGAGCAACGCCGCGUGAGUGAAGAAGGUUUUCGGAUCGUAAAACUCUGUUGUUAGAGAAGAACAAGGACGUUAGUAACUGAACGUCCCCUGACGGUAUCUAACCAGAAAGCCACGGCUAACUACGUGCCAGCAGCCGCGGUAAUACGUAGGUGGCAAGCGUUGUCCGGAUUUAUUGGGCGUAAAGCGAGCGCAGGCGGUUUCUUAAGUCUGAUGUGAAAGCCCCCGGCUCAACCGGGGGGGGUCAUUGGAAACUGGGAGACUUGAGUGCAGAAGAGGAGAGUGGAAUUCCAUGUGUAGCGGUGAAAUGCGUAGUUAUAUGGAGGCACACCAGUGGCGAAGGCGGCUCUCUGGUCUGUAACUGACGCUGAGGCUCGAAAGCGUGGGGAGCAAACAGG